rnacentral:rRNA from 1 species
GACGUAGGGCGCGAGCGUUUGUCCGGAUUUAUUGGGCGUAAAGAGCUCGUAGGCGGCUUGUCGCGUCGACUGUGAAAACCCGCGGCUCAACUGCGGGCCUGCAGUGGGUACGGGCAGACUAGAGUGCGGUAGGGGAGAUUGGAAUUCCUGGUGUAGCGGUGGAAUGCGCAGAUAUCAGGAGGAACACCGAUGGCGAAGGCAGAUCUCUGGGCCGUAACUGACGCUGAGGAGCGAAAGCGUGGGGAGCGAACAGG